rnacentral:rRNA from 1 species
GAACUUAAGCAUAUCAAUAAGCGGAGGAAAAGAAACCACCAGGGAUUACCUCAGUAACGGCGAGUGAAGCGGUAACAGCUCAAAUUUGAAAUCUGGCUCUUUCAGGGUCCGAGUUGUAAUUUGUAGACGAUGCUUUGGGCGUGGUGCCGGUCUAAGUUCCUUGGAACAGGACGUCAUAGAGGGUGAGAAUCCCGUAUGUGAUCGGUCGCCUUCGCCCGUGUAAAGCUCGUUCGACGAGUCGAGUUGUUUGGGAAUGCAGCUCAAAAUGGGUGGUAAAUUUCAUCUAAAGCUAAAUAUUGGCCAGAGACCGAUAGCGCACAAGUAGAGUGAUCGAAAGAUGAAAAGCACUUUGGAAAGAGAGUUAAACAGUACGUGAAAUUGUUGAAAGGGAAGCGCUUGCAACCAGACUUGGGCUGUCGCAAUCAUCCGGGGCUCGCCCCGGUGCACUUGUGGCGGCACAGGCCAGCAUCAGUUUCGGUGGUGGGAUAAAGGCCUUGGGAAUGUAGCUUCUUUCGGGGAGUGUUAUAGCCCUCGGUGCAAUGCCGCCUACCGGGACUGAGGACCGCGCUUCGGCUAGGAUGCUGGCGUAAUGGUUGUAAGCGACCCGUCUUGAAACACGGACCAAGGAGUCUAACAUCUAUGCGAGUGUUUGGGUGUCAAACCCAUACGCGUAAUGAAAGUGAACGGAGGUGAGAACCCGUUAGGGUGCAUCAUCGACCGAUCCUGAUGUCUUCGGAUGGAUUUGAGUAAGAGCAUAGCUGUUGGGACCCGAAAGAUGGUGAACUAUGCCUAAAUAGGGUGAAGCCAGAGGAAACUCUGGUGGAGGCUCGCAGCGGUUCUGACGUGCAAAUCGAUCGUCAAAUUUGGGUAUAGGGGCGAAAGACUAAUCGAACCAUCUAGUAGCUGGUUCCUGCCGAAGUUUCCCUCAGGA